CCUACGGGUGGCAGCAGUGGGGAAUAUUGCACAAUGGGCGCAAGCCUGAUGCAGCCAUGCCGCGUGUGUGAAGAAGGCCUUCGGGUUGUAAAGCACUUUCAGCGGGGGGGAAGGCGGUGAGGUUAAUAACCUCAUCGAUUGACGUUACCCGCAGAAGAAGCACCGGCUAACUCCGUGCCGGCAGCCGCGGUAAUACGGAGGGUGCAAGCGUUAAUCGGAAUUACUGGGCGUAAAGCGCACGCAGGCGGCCUGUCAAGUCGGAUGUGAAAUCCCCGGGCUCAACCUGGGAACUGCAUUCGAAACUGGCAGGCUAGAGUCUUGUAGAGGGGGGUAGAAUUCCAGGUGUAGCGGUGAAAUGCGUAGAGAUCUGGAGGAAUACCGGUGGCGAAGGCGGCCCCCUGGACAAAGACUGACGCUCAGGUGCGAAAGCGUGGGGAGCAAACAGGAUUAGAUACCCCGGUAGUC
rnacentral:rRNA from 1 species